rnacentral:rRNA from 1 species
AUGACCCGAACGGACAGACGCAACGCCGGGUCUGCCCCAAUCCCGACUCCAGGCCGUAGUCCUCCGGCGAUCUCGGCUUCCUCUUCCUCAACACCUCCGCCGCCUGGUCCACGGGAGACAGUCCCGCCCCCGCCAGUGCCGCCUCUCUGUCCCCGCUCGCGGCGACCUCCAACGCUUCCUCCCACGCCUACGCCCGCCCCGGAUCCCACCUUCUUCGACGACGUCGUCGACGUCGUUGCCGACAAAUACGGCUGGGACCUCGACGCCGAGGUCCGGGUCUGGCCGAUCGACGCCGAGCGCUCGCUCGUUGGCGCCGUGCAGCGCUACGAACUUCGCGCCCGCGCGGGGGGAGCCGCGGUCGCGCUGGCGCGGGCCUCCGACGGGGCCGUCGACUGGAGCCGCCCCGACGCCCCCGUGGUGGAGGAGGUGGUCGGACUCGACGGGGUCGAAUUCGUCGCCGGCGACGACACCCUGGGGUUCGGCUCCGGCAUCAGGGACCUGGCCAUGGUAGGGCCGUUCGAGCUGGUGGUCUGCGAUGGCGCUGGACGGGGCCUCGCAGAGCUCCAGUUGCCGUCGGUGAGAACUCCCCCACCUGAAUCCUUAAUUGCAGAACCAAAACAGAGCCAGAGCAGUUUGUGUUUACAAGCGGGGGAGAGAAAAGGGAUUGGGGAGGCGGGGACCAAGCCAAAUCAAUCAUUCAGGAUGACGAGUUUCUGGAGCCAAAUCGACAUGCGCCCUAUCCUCCCGAAAUCUGCUCCUCCAGUGCACAGCAUCAUCCCUACAGCACUUCAGCGUGGCCUCCAGGGAAGGAGAAGCCCCUCUGAACACCACCGGUGUCCUGUCUCCAGUGUUCUUGAGCACCAUUGGGUCGAGGAAGGAGAAGCCAUCCUAUGGCCGAGGAGCAGCAGAAAGAUUGUCAGCCUUACCCCAAAUUGCAAGAUCUUCGGAAUAAAGGAGGGGAGACUGAGACCAGUAGAAAAGAGAUUCUUCAGUACACAAUAUAUGCAUUUGUUGAUUUUGCAAUUGUCCAGGUCAGACCUGCUCUGCUUCGGUCUAAAUCUACAAGGCCCUGAGCUCCACUCCAUGGCCCUCCUCUGCCAAACCCCGUCCAACCUCCUCAAGCCAACUUGCUUGUCGGGGAGCCUAGCACCGCUAGCUAUUUGCAUGCUCGAUAGUUCCUCUUCUGAAGAUACGAGUUAA